GAUGAACGCUGGCGGCGUGCCUAAUACAUGCAAGUCGAGCGAACGGACGAGAAGCUUGCUUCUCUGAUGUUAGCGGCGGACGGGUGAGUAACACGUGGAUAACCUACCUAUAAGACUGGGAUAACUUCGGGAAACCGGAGCUAAUACCGGAUAAUAUUUUGAACCGCAUGGUUCAAAAGUGAAAGACGGUCUUGCUGUCACUUAUAGAUGGAUCCGCGCUGCAUUAGCUAGUUGGUAAGGUAACGGCUUACCAAGGCAACGAUGCAUAGCCGACCUGAGAGGGUGAUCGGCCACACUGGAACUGAGACACGGUCCAGACUCCUACGGGAGGCAGCAGUAGGGAAUCUUCCGCAAUGGGCGAAAGCCUGACGGAGCAACGCCGCGUGAGUGAUGAAGGUCUUCGGAUCGUAAAACUCUGUUAUUAGGGAAGAAAAUAUGUGUAAGUAACUGUGCACAUCUUGACGGUACCUAAUCAGAAAGCCACGGCUAACUACG
rnacentral:rRNA from 1 species